rnacentral:tRNA from 1 species
GCGCUCGUGGUGGAACUGGUAGACACGCAGGAUUUAGGUUCCUGUGCCUUCGGGUGUGCGGGUUCGACUCCCGCCGAGCGCA